AAGAAAUUCAAGAAGAGACACCAGCAUGUGAAUAAAGCCCCUGGUGGGUUCGAGACAUGGUUCCCAUUGAUUUUACAUGCACAGGCCCUCUUUUUCUGAAAAUUUUAGCAGUGAAAGGCACUAGGUUGGCCCAAAUUCCUCCAUAGAGUUCAUUGCUGGCCUGACCCCAGAGGGGUCAGAAUAAAACAGGAGCAUGUGGAAGGCAUUGGGCUCACAGUGUGGACAUGAGCAGCGCUAAUGGGAGCACUGCAUUGCCAGGCACCACCCCAUAACUCUACAAAUUAGCCAGAGCCUCUAGAAUCCCAGUUUUGCAGCUGCUGCACAGAUGUGCACCGAGCACUGGGAUGAGAGCAGAGAAAGGAGGCUGGAGCCUAAAGAAGGUUUAUCCAAAUCAAACCAGGACUCUAGGCAUCUGUUUUGCUGCAGGACCGAAAUAGACCCCAAAGAGCUACAAGGAAGAGAAAUAUCAAGAUCCUACCUUCUCCAAAGAAAUCUGGAUUGAAAAUCAGAUACUAGCAACUGGAUACUUUUCAUAUGUCUUCCACUGGACCUCACUCCUCAUCGCCAUGCCUCCCUUUCCCAGAGACCUGCCUACUAAGCAUGGGUGGUGGUGGGGAGGACAGGUUUUCAACUCAGCCAACUCCAGGGGAUUAAAUGGAAUGAAGAGAAGACCCGGCACCAAGAACAUACCUCGUGCACUUUACAACCACUGGCCACAGGAUACCUGUCUUCCAUGACCUCUCACCCUAAAUUCCUGCUGCACAGAAAACAGCUGCCCUCACUCACUCAGAAAGUCCUCCAACUUUUAAACACUAUACACUCCUUCCAUCCUCCCAAAGUAAAAUCGCCAUCUUGGUUUUAAAAGGAUUCUUCAUUACCUCUGCAGCUGCCAUUCCUUGAUUAUUCACUUAAGACUUUUUUUUUUUUUAAUGGAGCACCUACUAUAAAGACAGUGAGAAAUGAGAGGCUGGGAUGAAAUCCCAGAAGUCUCUGAUUUAAUCUGGUCCUGUAUACACAAAGGAAUUAAGCUCUAUAUUGUGAGGUACUGUGUAGAACAGGAGCUUGGAGAAAGAAAGGGAAGGGACGACUAGAGGAGAAAGAGCAUGAUCCAGGGUGGUCAAAAUGAGCACCAUGAGAGGAGCAGUGAGGAGAUGCUGGACUAGAAGGGAGAGACUGGGGGAGGGGAGGGGUGACGAGAAAUUAGAGUGUGGUACUAACUAGAAGGAAAAGGUCUCUUGAGACAGGCAGAGUAAAUUAAACACUAUGAAGCAGGAAUACAUGGCAAAAGGGGUAUUUAAAACUCUUAAUGAUAAAGGAUGAAGACUCCAUUUGAAGGGAUCAGAACUAUUCUGAGGGAGAAUGACUAGGAGGUGGCCAUAGUAUAUGAGCUGGAAGGAGAUGAAAAAGGAAGGAACUGGAAAAAGAUGAAGGGUGUGUGCGCGUAUUGUGUGUAUGACAAGUUAGAUAUAGAUUUGACCACCAAUUUUCCAAAAUAGUCCUAAAUUUUAUCGUCAAGAAAAGAAAUUAUUUAAAUAUACAACUAAAGAUAUGAUUGAUUACAUUUAUAUACGCUUUUAAGAUUCUUCAUACAAACUCAAAAGUCAGAAAAAAAAUCAGUCUUUGUAUUCCUAUUUCAUGGUUCACAAAUUUUAGUUAAAGUCGACAUAAGAGUUAAAGAUGAAGUACCUAGAAAAUGCCACCACUGACCCAAACAGUGCUCUAAUCUUAGGAAGUCUGUUCAAGUAAUUUGCUACCUUAGAAUAUACAUUGCAUUCUGAGAAACAACCCUCCCUUCCAAGGCUGGCCCCUCUCAGAAUUUCCCACCCUGAAUGCCUCCAUCUGUUCGCCACCAAGGCAAGCCUCUUCCAGACACAGCUGGAGCCUUCUCUCACAAGGCCCCUCUGUCGUCUUCUGGUAACCACUGAAUUUCAACAGAAUUACAGCUAUUUUCCCAGAGUAAACAUUUGAUUAUAGAAAACCAAAAUCCAAAGAGGAUCCUAAACAUGCAUUUGUAUUUCAAUAGCUUUUACCAACUUUCAAAGAAUAUUUUACCACUGAAGGUAACAAUGAGAAAAACUGAACAGUUCUGAGUUUCACUAGCUCUGUAUCCUGCCCGAUUCCUUCUUUAAGGGCUGAUGAAUGAAGUGGUCAAAGGCAAGAUGAUGGGGUGAAGCACCUGUAUUAUUCACAAAUUAGAUAAUUUUUAUAAGUUAAAACAGACCAUACUAAAAUAUUAAAGCAAAUGUUAAAAAUUAAAAUUAGCCAAAGGCUGUAGAGAAUUUAGGGCAGUCUGCUAAAUAAUUUUUUUAAAUAAUAAAAAUUAAAGUAAAAACUAUAUGCUCUACAAAACCAACAUGCUAGUUUUUCACAAUACUAUAAUGUUUAAUAUUUACCAUGUUUAUCACCUCAACAUAGUUACAAAUGUAAAAAGACCAUAAGCAUGAUUUUGAUGGGUUAAAAUAAUUUUUAACUCAAUCUUACAGAGAUAGCUGAAACAAAUCUAAAUAUCUAUUGCUGAACACAAAUUUAUGAGCAAGGAUGAUCUUUUUAAUGAUUCAACUGUCCUUUAAGUUUUCCUUUAAGUUUCAAGGAAGAAAAUAAGAAAGCCAGGGUAAAUUCAAAAUUAAAUACUAAGUCUGACUCAUUUAUUUCUAAAAUUCAUCUUGAUAUUGUGGAAAAGACAAAUAAAAUGAAAGUCAAAAGAAUUGGUAUCUAGUCCCAGCUUUGCCACUAACUGCAGCCUUGGCAAAGUUACUUCCUGGCUCUCAUGCUUUCAUAGAGAUCUGAGAUGAAUUGCUCCUUAUGGUUAAAAAUCUGUGCUUUUAAUGGUACGAUUUAUAAACAAAUUAGAGAAUACAGUAAAUAAGGACAGAGAAAUAAGGAAAGCAUGACUGAGGAAAUAAAACAAAGGGAAAGGCAUGAAAAAAAUGUGAAUACCGUAAUAGCUCAAAAUAAGUUUAUACCAAAGUGAGUAGCUGACCCAUAUGUUACGAUAUCCCUGGCAUGACUGAUCCGGGAAGAUUCACACAAAAAUAUUUUAAUUGCUUCAGAGUUAAGUAAUGAUGUAGCCAUUAAGAAAUGUCAAACUACUAAAUACAUGAAAAGGAUUUAAUCUUUCAACCAAUUAUACUCUGCUACAUGCUUAAUCAUUGUGGCGGGGACUUCAUAUUUUAGUCUGUUCUCAAAAUAAAUCCUUAGUAGUUACUAUCAUCUCCUUUAACACAUAACAACAGCUAACUUACACUGAGUGUUUCCUGCAUGUUAGGCCAUCCCUGCUCUUCACUUAGUCCCCACAACACUAUGAGGUGAAUGUUACUCUCCCCUUUCACUGACAGUCCAGGCAGAGAGAGGUUAAAAACCCACAGUCCGAGUUUUGAAUCCAGAAGGUACGGCUCAAGAAUAUAUGCUUUUAACUACUCUACCAUGGCCUCUCUACCACAUGGCUUAUAGACGAAGAGACUGAGGUUCAGAGAAGUUAAUCAGCUUUUCCAGGUCACAGAGUUAGAAUAGCAAGGCUAGAAUUUCAGCCUUGUUCUGUGAACUCCAAAGCCCAAGUUUCCUUAUAAUUUUCUGUAAUUUAAUUAACUUUUUAUUGGAUGCUGACUCCAAAAUUACUUGAGUGACCCUCCCUUUCUUAACAUAAAAAGUGAUUCCUAGUAGGGCCAGAGGUAAAGCUAAGUACCAUAAACGGAGCGCCACUUUACCACUGACUCACUAGAUCACUGUUUCCCUAACUGUGGUCUAAAACCAAUUUACAGGUUAUGACCAGCCUUAAAAAAAGAAAAAGAAAAUGAAAAAAAUAGACUAUUACAAGGUUCUGCACAAAAUUAAGAUAUUAUUUCAGAUAUGUAUGUAAGCAGGUAUUACAGAUACGUAUGCAUUUGUGUGUAACAUGAAGCAAAGUAGAUUUCUCACUGUGAAUAAGUAUUUUGAAAGCUACUGAACUAAAUAAUGGAAUAAGUAACAUUAAACUUUGAGGUUGAGGUAAGAGAAGUAAGAAUCUGGGGUCUCAACAAUAUACACUAAUUCUGAAAAUAAAUGAAAAAGCUUUAAGAAGGGUAUGACUGGAGGGAGCGGCCAAGAUGGUGGAGGACAAAGACCCUGAGCUCACCUCCUCUCAUAAACACACCAAGUCACAACCAUCUACAGAACAACUGACGAUGAAAAGGACUGAAACCUGCCAGCAAAGAUCUUCUACAACUAAAGACCUAAAGAGGGAAUCACAAGAAGAUGGGUAGGAGGGGCGGACUAUAUCAAAUCCCAUGCCCCGGGGCAGGCAAUCCACAAACUGGAGAAUAAUGCAGUUUCUCCCACAGAGCUGAGAGUUUGGAGACCCACAUCAGGUUCCCCAGCCUGGGGGUCCAGACAGGGAAGUUGAGCCCCCAGAGCAUUUGGCUUUAAAGGCCAGCAGGGUUUAACUGCAGGAGACCUGGGGGAAAUAGAGAUUCCACUCUUAAAGUGUGCACACAAAAUCUCAUGUGUACCAGGACCCAGGGCAAGAGCAGUAAUUUGUAAACCUAUCUUCUGGUCUUGGAGAGUCUCCUGGGGGGUGGAGGGUGGGGUGGCUUCGGCUUGCCCUGGGGACAUGGACACUGGUGGCAGACAUAUUUGGGGGCGUUUAGCCAUGUGAGCUGCUGGUGGCUGCCAUCUUGGCACCUUAGGGCCAAGACCUGGCCCCACCCAACAGCCUAUAGACACCAGUGCUGGCAUGCCUCAAGCCAAACAACUAACUGGACAGGGACACAGCCCCACUGUUCAGCAGGCAGACUACCAAGAGACCUCCUAAGCCCACAGCCACCUCCAGACAUGCGCCAAGACCCAGCUCCAUCCACCAGUGGGCAGGCACUCAUCCUUCCCACCAGGAAGCCUGCACAAACCUCUAGACCAGUCUAGAGGCCUAAGGAUUGAGUCCAGCAACAGCAGGCCAAACUCUGUCAUGGGACCAGCUGGGCCCUGGCCCUGCCGAUUAGCAGGCUAACACAACCCGCAGGACACAGCCAACCCCACCCUAUUGUGUCAGGGACAGCCCAUCACCCACCCAUGAUUUGAAACGACCUCUGGAAUCCCUGGGCCCUGUAGGCAGACUCCAGGAGGCUGCUCCGCCUGCUGGUAGUCCAGCACUAACCCCGGGAUCCGGCUCAACUGCCAGUGGGUGGGCAACAGCCCAAGAGUCUUCAGGACCCUGAAUCCACCCACCAGCAAGCUAGCACUAGCCCCAGGGCCACAUAGGGUUCUGCAACUGGCAGACCAGGCCCAGCUAACCAGUGGCCAGCAGCAGCUGCAAAAGGCAGGGCCUGGCAACCAGCCAAGCGAGGGGCCAACGAAGCCUACUAGACUGUCCACGUAGUCAGUCUGCCACAACAGAAGGACCAUGCAGCCCUCUUAAGGGGAACCCCUAGAGCAUACAGUGUGGGUGACCAGAGGGGACUGAGCUGCAUUUUGAAGUGAACUAACUGGCUGAACAUUUUGUAUGUUCCAGCAUUAGUCCGUUCUCUCCAACAGAAUGGGAGAAAUCAUGUGCAAAUGAUGCAACCAACAAGAGAUUAAUCUCCAAAGUAUACAAACAGUACAUAUA